GACGAACGCUGGCGGCGUGCUUAACACAUGCAAGUCGAGCGGAAAGGCCUUUCGGGGUACUCGAGCGGCGAACGGGUGAGUAACACGUGAGUAAUCUGCCCUUGGCCUUGGGAUAACCACCGGAAACGGUGGCUAAUACCGAAUACGACCACUUCAGGCAUCUGAUGGUGGUGGAAAGUUCCGGCGGUGAAGGAUGAGCUCGCGGCCUAUCAGCUUGUUGGUGAGGUAAUGGCUCACCAAGGCUUCGACGGGUAGCCGGCCUGAGAGGGUGACCGGCCACACUGGGACUGAGACACGGCCCAGACUCCUACGGGGGGCAGCAGUGGGGAAUAUUGGACAACGGGCGAAAGCCUGAUCCAGCAACGCCGCGUGAGGGAUGACGGCCUUCGGGUUGUAAACCUCUUUCAGCGGGGACGAAGCGAAAGUGACGGUACCCGCAGAAGAAGGACCGGCCAACUACGUGCCAGCAGCCGCCGUAACAC
rnacentral:rRNA from 1 species